rnacentral:tRNA from 1 species
GUUAUUUUGGCAGAAUAGUGCAAUAGAUUUAGAAUCUUUAUAUGUAUGAUAAUACAAAUAAUA